rnacentral:rRNA from 1 species
AUUGAACGCUGGCGGCAUGCCUUACACAUGCAAGUCGAACGGUAACGGGUCCGUCGGGAUGCCGACGAGUGGCGAACGGGUGAGUAAUAUAUCGGAACGUGCCCAGUAGUGGGGGAUAACUGCUCGAAAGAGCAGCUAAUACCGCAUACGACCUGAGGGUGAAAGGGGGGGAUCGCAAGACCUCUCGCUAUUGGAGCGGCCGAUAUCAGAUUAGCUAGUUGGUGGGGUAAAGGCCUACCAAGGCAACGAUCUGUAGUUGGUCUGGGAGGACGACCAGCCACACUGGGACUGAGACACGGCCCAGACUCCUACGGGAGGCAGCAGUGGGGAAUUUUGGACAGUGGGCGCAAGCCUGAUCCAGCAAUGCCGCGUGCAGGAAGAAGGCCUUCGGGUUGUAAACUGCUUUUGUCAGGGAAGAAAUCUUCUGGGCUAAUACCCCGGGAGGAUGACGGUGCCUGAAGAAUAAGCACCGGCUAACUACGUGCCAGCAGCCGCGGUAA